AACGAACGCUGGCGGCAGGCCUAACACAUGCAAGUCGAGCGCGCCCUCCGGGGUUAGCGGCGGUCGGGUGAGUACCGCGUGGGAACGUGCCCUUUUCUACGCUAUAGCUGCGGUAAACUGAGAUUAAUACCGCAUAGGCUCUUAGGGGGUAAGAUUUCUCGGGAAAGGAUCGGCCCGCGUUAGUUUCGGCAGUUGGUGGGGUAAUGGCCUGCCAAGCCGACGAUGCAUAGCUGGUUUGAGAGGAUGAUCAUCCACACUGGGACUGAGGCACGGACCAGACUCCUACGGGAGGCAGCAGUGGGGAAUCUUAGACAAUGGGGGCAACCCUGAUCUAGCCAUGCCGGGUGAGUGAUGAAGGCCUUAGGAUUGUAAAGCUCUUUCAGCUGGGGAGAUAAUGACGGUACCAGCAGAAGAAGCCCCGGCUAACUACGUG
rnacentral:rRNA from 1 species